GACGAACGCUGGCGGCGUGCUUAACACAUGCAAGUCGAACGGAAAGGCCCUGCUUUUGUGGGGUGCUCGAGUGGCGAACGGGUGAGUAACACGUGAGUAACCUGCCCUUGACUUUGGGAUAACUUCAGGAAACUGGGGCUAAUACCGGAUAGGAGCUCCUGCUGCAUGGUGGGGGUUGGAAAGUUUCGGCGGUUGGGGAUGGACUCGCGGCUUAUCAGCUUGUUGGUGGGGUAGUGGCUUACCAAGGCUUUGACGGGUAGCCGGCCUGAGAGGGUGACCGGCCACAUUGGGACUGAGAUACGGCCCAGACUCCUACGGGAGGCAGCAGUGGGGAAUAUUGCACAAUGGGCGGAAGCCUGAUGCAGCAACGCCGCGUGCGGGAUGACGGCCUUCGGGUUGUAAACCGCUUUCGCCUGUGACGAAGCGUGAGUGACGGUAAUGGGUAAAGAAGCACCGGCUAACUACGUGCAGCAGCCGCGGUGAUACGUAGGGUGCGAGCGUUGUCCGGAUUUAUUGGGCGUAAAGGGCUCGUAGGUGGUUGAUCGCGUCGGAAGUGUAAUCUUGGGGCUUAACCCUGAGCGUGCUUUCGAUACGGGUUGACUUGAGGAAGGUAGGGGAGAAUGGAAUUCCUGGUGGAGCGGUGGAAUGCGCAGAUAUCAGGAGGAACACCAGUGGCGAAGGCGGUUCUCUGGGCCUUUCCUGACGCUGAGGAGCGAAAGCGUGGGGAGCGAACAGGCUUAGAUACCCUGGUAGUCCACGCUGUAAACGGUGGGUACUAGGUGUGGGGUCCAUUCCACGGGUUCCGUGCCGUAGCUAACGCUUUAAGUACCCCGCCUGGGGAGUACGGCCGCAAGGCUAAAACUCAAAGGAAUUGACGGGGCCCCGCACAAGCGGCGGAGCAUGCGGAUUAAUUCGAUGCAACGCGUAGAACCUUACCUGGGUUUGACAUGGAUCGGGAGUGCUCAGAGAUGGGUGUGCCUCUUUUGGGGUCGGUUCACAGGUGGUGCAUGGCUGUCGUCAGCUCGUGUCGUGAGAUGUUGGGUUAAGUCCCGCAACGAGCGCAACCCUUGUUCACUGUUGCCAGCACGUUAUGGUGGGGACUCAGUGGAGACCGCCGGGGUCAACUCGGAGGAAGGUGGGGAUGACGUCAAGUCAUCAUGCCCCUUAUGUCCAGGGCUUCACGCAUGCUACAAUGGCUGGUACAGAGAGUGGCGAGCCUGUGAGGGUGAGCGAAUCUCGGAAAGCCGGUCUCAGUUCGGAUUGGGGUCUGCAACUCGACCUCAUGAAGUCGGAGUCGCUAGUAAUCGCAGAUCAGCAACGCUGCGGUGAAUACGUUCCCGGGGCU
rnacentral:rRNA from 1 species